AGUGGGCGUGAGGGAGCUAGCCCCUGUGUGUGCCUGCGUGUGCCUGCGUGUGCAAGCGUGCGUGUACAUGCCUGCACCCCGGUGCUGAGGUGUGGAAUCAGCGGUGGUCAGCACUGGGACAGAGACAGGCAAGACACUGAGCAUCGCUCACAGGAUGACAGCACGGAGACGGCUUCACCAUCCACUACCUUCGAGUUUAUGGCGGCGUCUCUCUGCGUCACCCUCAUCUUGAGCAGCUGUGAAGGAUCCGGAGGCACCGGCACCAUGGCCCCAGUACCCGCAAGAUUGAGGAAGAAAGAUGAUUAGAGGUUCCCAAGGCCGUGGGCACCAUCCAAGUGUGCUGGGGAAUUUGGAGGAGAAGAAGGACUCAAACUUGAUGGCUCUAUUGGGUAUGAGUAGCCCACAUCACUCUCCCGUUUGGACCAGUGGAAGGAAAAGUUAUCUGGACUCAGCUCACUGGCGGACCACCUGACCGCAGAGGCCUUGUGACUGGAGCCUGACAGUCCCAUUCGGAGGGUUUUCAACUCAGACACAACAACCACAAGGAAGGAGGGCCCGAGAGCUUCUCUUCGCAAAUGGAAGACUCUGUAUUCAACAGCAGCAGGCAGGCCCCCAGUGAUGUCUCAGCUUCACAUCGAAAGUGGCCACUCUCCCUUUCGGGGAAACUUUGCUCGCUGCACUCCACCAUCCAAGGAAAAGCUCAUGGCUCUCCAGGGCCCUCGAUCCACCAGGGCCCCCUAAACGGCCGCGAAGCUCAUGGCUCUCCAGGGCCCUCGAUCCACCAGGGCCCCCUAAACGGCUGCUCACCUGGGGCUUGCUGAGCUGGAACCCGAUAGUGACCCCACGGCUGCUGCUGUCUGGCCUCAGCGCCAGCGACACGGGACCUAGAGUAAACAUGGUCACUUGGCUCAGUGACCAGAAUUCAAGCCAUUCGUGUAGCACUGGCCGAUACCCCCAUUCACAAAACUUGCUGUAUUUUCACUGACUUUUCGGCUGUUUUGAAUACUGUACUGAUUUGAAUACUGUCCCCUCCAAAAUCAUGUCCACCUGGAACCUCAGAAUGUGUCCUUAUUUGGAAAUAGGGUCAUCUGCAGAUGUAAUGAGUUCAGGUGAGGUCAUACUGGACUAGGAGGGGCCCUGGAUCCCAUGGCUGGUGUCCUUCUGAAAUUCAGAGAUGCGAUGGGGACACACGGGGUCCAGGCCAUGUGACAGUAAAGGCAGAGACUGGAGCGACGCAUCCACAGGCCAAAGAACACAAGGAUCACCAGCAACACCGAACCCGGGAGGGAGAAGGGGGGGCCCUCCCCUGCAGCCCUCCCCACACCUUGGUCCCAGACUUCUGGCCUCCAGCACUGUGGGAGAAUGCAUUCCCGUCGCUUUAAGUCAGUUUGUUACUUUUUUUUUUUUUUUUUUGAGCAGAGUCUUGCUCUAUGGCCCAAGCUAGGGUGCAGUGG